CACGUAGGGUGCGAGCGUUGUCCGGAAUUAUUGGGCGUAAAGAGCUCGUAGGCGGUGUGUCGCGUCGGCCGUGAAAACCUGCAGCUUAACUGUGGGCUUGCGGUCGAUACGGGCAUCACUGGAGUUCGGCAGGGAGACUGGAAUUCCCGGUGUAGCAGUGAAAUGCGUAGAUAUCGGGAGGAAUACCGAUGGCGAAGGCAGGUCUCUGGGCUAUAACUGACGCUCAUGCACGAAAGCGUGGGAGCAAACAGG
rnacentral:rRNA from 1 species